rnacentral:rRNA from 1 species
UGGAAAAACAGAGGAGGAAAAAGUGAGAAGUGAUGGCGAGCGGCGGACGGCAGAGUAACGCGUAGGAACAUACCCCAAACUGAGGGAUAACUGCUCGAAAGAGUAGCUAAUACCGCAUGUGAUCUUCGGAUUAAAGCUUCGGGCGGUUUGGGGAAUGGCCUGCGUCCGAUUAGCUUGUUGGUGAGGUAAAAGACUCACCAAGGCGACGAUCGGUAGCUGGUCUGAGAGGAUGAUCAGCCUGACUGGAACUGAGAACGGUCCAGACUCCUACGGGAGGCAGCAGUAGGGAAUUUUCCACAAUGGGCGGAAGCCUGAUGGAGCAACGCCGCGUGCAGGAUGAAUGCCUUCGGGUUGUAAACUGCUUUUAUUAGUGAAGAAUAUGACGGUAACUAAUGAAUAAGGGUCGGCUAACUACGUG